rnacentral:rRNA from 1 species
UGCUUAACGCAUGCAAGUCGAACGAAGCACUCUAUUUGAUUUUCUUCGGAAAUGAAGAUUUUGUGACUGAGUGGCGGACGGGUGAGUAACGCGUGGGUAACCUGCCUCAUACAGGGGGAUAACAGUUGGAAACGACUGCUAAUACCGCAUAAGCGCACAGGAUCGCAUGAUCCGGUGUGAAAAACUCCGGUGGUAUGAGAUGGACCCGCGUCUGAUUAGCCAGUUGGCAGGGUAACGGCCUACCAAAGCGACGAUCAGUAGCCGACCUGAGAGGGUGACCGGCCACAUUGGGACUGAGACACGGCCCAAACUCCUACGGGAGGCAGCAGUGGGGAAUAUUGCACAAUGGGGGAAACCCUGAUGCAGCGACGCCGCGUGAGCGAAGAAGUAUUUCGGUAUGUAAAGCUCUAUCAGCAGGGAAGAAGAAUGACGGUACCUGACUAAGAAGCACCGGCUAAAUACGUGCCAGCAGCCGCGGUAAUACGUAUGGUGCAAGCGUUAUCCGGAUUUACUGGGUGUAAAGGGAGCGCAGGCGGUGCGGCAAGUCUGAUGUGAAAGCCCGGGGCUCAACCCCGGUACUGCAUUGGAAACUGUCGUACUAGAGUAUCGGAGGGG